ACGAACGCUGGCGGCGUGCUUAACACAUGCAAGUCGAACGAGGGUAGCAAUACCCUAGUGGCGGACGGGUGAGUAACGCGUAGGUAACCUGCCUCAUAGUGGGGGAUACCCAGUCGAAAGAUUGGCUAAUACCGCAUAAGCUGGUGAUUUGAAAUAGUCAUCAGGAAAGAUUCAUUGCUAUGAGAGGGGCCUGCGUCCGAUUAGCUAGUUGGUGGGGUAAUGGCUCACAAAGGCGACGAUCGGUAGCUGGUCUGAGAGGACGAUCAGCCACACUGGAACUGAGACACGGUCCAGACUCCUACGGGAGGCAGCAGUGGGGAAUUUUCCGCAAUGGGCGAAAGCCUGACGGAGCAACGCCGCGUGGAUGAUGAAGUCUUUCGGGAUGUAAAAUCCUUUCAGCAGGGACGAAGCGAGUGACGGUACCUGCAGAAGAAGCAUCGGCUAACUACGU
rnacentral:rRNA from 1 species